UAGGGAAUAUUGGACAAUGGGUGAGAGCCUGAUCCAGCCAUGCCGCGUGCAGGAAGAAGGCCUUCGGGUUGUAAACUGCUUUUGUACGGAACGAAAAGGCUCUUUCUAAUAAAGAGGGCCCAUGACGGUACCGUAAGAAUAAGCACCGGCUAACUACGUGCCAGCAGCCGCGGUAAUACGUAGGGUGCGAGCGUUAAUCGGAAUUACUGGGCGUAAAGCGUGCGCAGGCGGUUCUAUAAGACAGAUGUGAAAUCCCCGGGCUCAACCUGGGAAUGGCAUUUGUGACUGUAGAGCUAGAGUACGGUAGAGGGGGAUGGAAUUCCGCGUGUAGCAGUGAAAUGCGUAGAUAUGCGGAGGAACACCGAUGGCGAAGGCAAUCCCCUGGACCUGUACUGACGCUCAUGCACGAAAGCGUGGGGAGCAAACAGGAUUAGAUACCCCUGUAGUCCCUGAGCGGGCUGGCAAGGCGCAU
rnacentral:rRNA from 1 species